AACUACCAUCCAGCUCAUCCUUACCUCUAGAGCCUAAAUGAGUUCUGGGGCAGAAAAACAGAACUGUAAAAUAGAAGCCAGUCUUCCUCCUUCUCUUUCUACUGUCACCAUAGAAACCAGUAUGUUUCUGUGCACAGUUUUUCCACGGGACUAUCCUUGCCUCAGAUUCUACCAGCCAAAAGUCCCAGACACCAAUUCUUCCAUGAAAUCUGCUUCUUUUCUACUAAGAUCAUAUCUAUCAGACCUAAAAUCUGGACUGUUGAAUCAGCAAAGUAUUUCCAAAGAAGUGAGACUGGUAUCAUAAGUGGUUAAGAGAAGUCAUUAAAUAGCAUUGAAUCACAGGGGUCUUUGCAGAUUGAAUUAAAGAACAAAGAUGAGAUCCUCUUGGAGUAUCUGUGAGGGCCCUAACACCAAUGUCAAGUGUCCUUAUAAGAGAUACACAGAGAACAGAUAGAAAAGAAGGAGGCAAUGUGACCAGAGGCAGAGAUUGAAGUGAUGGAGCCACAAGCCAAGCAAUGUCUGGAACUACCAGAAGCUCGAAGAGGCAAGGAACAGAGACUCCUCAAGAGCCUUCAAAGAAGCAGGCCCUUGACAACACCUUGAUUUUGAACUUUUAGCCUCCAGAACCAUGAGGAAAUAAAUUGCUAUCGUUUACGCCA